CGGUAUUUUGUCCGUCAGUGAAUCUGUUUCUCGUCGUUACGUUUGUCAUAGACAUAUCAGCCGUCACAUCCUGUUUGUUUCCGUUUUUCGAUGUUUGGAUCACCUCCGACGCAUUUAUCAGUUGCACGUGGAUCGGCUUUGACGGGACCUUGAGCGAGUGCUAUCCGAUAAGAGAGCUUCGAGGAUAGGGACACAUCGAUUGCAGAAAAAAAAAAUCGUGCCACGUAUUACAGCUCUUAUCGUACUUGCUGGAUGGAAUCGUACAUGACGUCAUCAUCUCAAGGAGUCCCUGCCUUCGGAAACCUGCCCAAGCAUUUAUGGAAUCCAAAUAUCUGCUACUACGCUAUAGUGAUCACGAACUGAUCGAGGCUCCAACGCUGCUUCAGCUGUGCAUUGGUUUCCACUCUCUGACAAGUGAAUCUCUAUGGCUUUAGCAUUGUACAGUGAAAGUAGUAGGUACGACAUCGCCCAUCGCUUUUCACGACCGUGGGGUGAAAGACAUUCGAGACACCUGCAGCAUCGCCGCCCGCCCACACGAGGAUAUGAUGUGCCGGUAAGGACAAGGGAUGGUACCCUGUACGCUCUAUUCCUUCUCCGCCUCCUCUCAAACGGCUGUCACGAUGCAUGCUACUCUAUCCCACCCUUCCUUCAUUCGGAGACUGCCUAUAGACCACACAAUGCCAUUCGUCCGACCGUCUGUUAGCCUUCGCGAGAAUGCGUUGCUGAAAGUGGUCUAAAUCAGACGACAAAUAACGAAGCAGACGACAACUGCAUCUGUCGUCAGUUUGUGGCGAAGUGCGUAUCGCUUUUGAACCGCUUUUUUUUUUUCUCUCUAUGUUG